GACGAAGGGGGCUAGCGUUGUUCGGAAUUACUGGGCGUAAAGCGUGCGUAGACGGCUAUCUAAGUCGGGUGUGAAAAGCCCCGGGCUCAACCUGGGAAUUGCAUUCGAGACUGAAUAGCUAGGGUACGGUAGAGGGAAGCGGAAUUUCCGGUGUAGCGGUGAAAUGCGUAGAUAUCGGAAGGAACAUCAGUGGCGAAAGCGGCUUCCUGGACCAGUACCGA
rnacentral:rRNA from 1 species